GCUUGUGUAGAUCAGUGGUAGAUCACCUCUACUUCAUACUUGCGAAAAGUUUUGGUUUCACGAGGAGGCGGAGGUUCGAAUCCUCCUACGGGCA